rnacentral:rRNA from 1 species
AGAAACCAACAGGGAUUGCCCCAGUAACGGCGAGUGAAGCGGCAACAGCUCAAAUUUGAAAUCUGGCUCUCGGGCCCGAGUUGUAAUUUGUAGAGGAUGCUUUUGGUGAGGUGCCUUCCGAGUUCCCUGGAACGGGACGCCAUAGAGGGUGAGAGCCCCGUCUGGUUGGACGCCGAACCUCUGUAAAGCUCCUUCGACGAGUCGAGUAGUUUGGGAAUGCUGCUCUAAAUGGGAGGUAUAUGUCUUCUAAAGCUAAAUACCGGCCAGAGACCGAUAGCGCACAAGUAGAGUGAUCGAAAGAUGAAAAGAACUUUGAAAAGAGAGUUAAACAGUACGUGAAAUUGUUGAAAGGGAAGCGCUUGUGACCAGACUUGGGCUUGGUUGAUCAUCCGGGGUUCUCCCCGGUGCACUCUUCCGGCUCAGGCCAGCAUCAGUUCGCCCUGGGGGAUAAAGGCAUCGGGAACGUGGCUCUCUCCGGGGAGUGUUAUAGCCCGUUGCGUAAUACCCUGUGGCGGACUGAGGUUCGCGCAUUCGCAAGGAUGCUGGCGUAAUGGUCAUCAGUGACC